AUGUCGUAUUACACCUGAGACUGCGGUGGAAGAAAUCGGAAGAACUACUGAAAGUUCUUCUGAUUUCUUCCACCGCAGUCUCAGGUGUAAUACGACAU
rnacentral:pre_miRNA from 1 species